GAUGAACGCUAGCAGCAGGCUUAACACAUGCAAGUCGAGGGGUAUAGUUCUUCGGAACUAGAGACCGGCGCACGGGUGCGUAACGCGUAUGCAAUCUACCUUUUGCAGAGGGAUAGCCCAGAGAAAUUUGGAUUAAUACCUCAUAGUAUGUGAGAAUGGCAUCAUUUUCACAUUAAAGUCACAACGGCAAAAGAUGAGCAUGCGUCCCAUUAGCUUGUUGGUAAGGUAACGGCUUACCAAGGCAACGAUGGGUAGGGGUCCUGAGAGGGAGAUCCCCAAACUGGUACUGAGACACGGACCAGACUCAUACGGGAGGCAGCAGGGAGGAAUAUUGGACAAUGGGCGCAAGCCUGAUCCAGCCAUGCCGCGUGCAGGAUGACGGUCCUAUGGAUUGUAAACUGCUUUUGUACAGGAAGAAACACUGGUUCGUGAACCAGCUUGACGGUACUGUAAGAAUAAGGAUCGGCUAACUCCGUGCCAGCCGCCGCAGUAACAC
rnacentral:rRNA from 1 species